GAUGAACGCUGGCGGCGUGCUUAACACAUGCAAGUCGAACGGAAAGGCCCAAACUUGCUUGUGUACUCGAGUGGCGAACGGGUGAGUAACACGUGGGUGAUCUGCUCUGCACUUCGGGGUAAGCCUGGGAAACUGGGUCUAAUACCGUAUAGGACCACAUUUUGGAUGGUGUGGUGGAAAGUUUUUCGGUGUGGGAUGAGUUCGCGGCCUAUCGGCGUGUUGGUGGGGGAAUGGCCUACCAAGCCGUCGACGGGUAGUCGGCCGGAGAGGGUGGACGGCGACAUUGGGACUGAGGGAAGGCCCCGAUGCCUACGGGAGGCAGAAGGGGGGAAUAUUGCACCAUGGGCGCCGGCUUGAUGAAGCGAGGCCGCGGGGGGGAUGACGGCCUUCGGGUUGUAAAAACCUUUCGCGAGGGACGACGCGUUAUGUGACGGUACCUGGAGAAGAAGCACCGGCUAACUACGUG
rnacentral:rRNA from 1 species